AGUGUUCUAGGUUGAGCGUGUGCGGGAUCGCAUCUUUGAACCGAUACGCAAUAGCGAGGGAUUGGCAGUGAGUUUGUUUGUGUGCAAACCCACCUGAUGGGGAGCCUGAUGGCAAGCCCGCCGAGCCCACUUGAACCUCAGGGUUCGCAAAGCACCCGUAGCGCCAACCUGGUUUAAUG
rnacentral:other from 1 species